rnacentral:rRNA from 1 species
AACGAACGCUGGCGGCAUGCCUAACACAUGCAAGUCGAACGAUGCCUUCGGGCAUAGUGGCGCACGGGUGCGUAACGCGUGGGAAUCUGCCCUUGGCUUCGGAAUAACAGUUAGAAAUGACUGCUAAUACCGGAUGAUGUCCCCCUGAGAGAUCUUGGGGACCAAAGAUUUAUCGGCCAGGGAUGAGCCCGCGUAGGAUUAGGUAGUUGGUGGGGUAAAGGCCUACCAAGCCGACGAUCCUUAGCUGGUCUGAGAGGAUGAUCAGCCACACUGGGACUGAGACACGGACCAGACUCCUACGGGAGGCAGCAGUGGGGAAUAUUGGACAAUGGGGGGAAACCUGAUCCAGCAAUGCCGCGUGAGUGAUGAAGGCCUUAGGGUUGUAAAGCUCUUUUACCAGGGAUGAUAAUGACAGUACCUGGAGAAUAAGCUCCGGCUAACUCCGUG